GGAAUCACGCGCAAAACGUAUCAAUCCGACGGGGACGACACGAGGAACGAUUCUUCCUAAAGCACGGCUCGGGUUCGGGGCCCAGAAACAGCCCAAAAGCGGGCCCGAAGUCGCUGAGACCCACUCUGCAACUUGCUGGGUUGCUGCAAACAGAGGGGAAAAACAGAUGGUUGGGGGCAGCAAGGGGUCGGGAAGGUAGGUGGUGGCUUGGCGAGGCCGAGCGGUGGCCGGAGGUGGCCGGACGGGGCAGAACAAGGGCUGAGCAAAGGUUGAACAGUGCACGGUGAGGACGGCACGAGCGAAGGGGCGGUGGCGAAGCACGCGGCGUGCGCGGGCGGGCGUUGCGCGGGUGGUGGUUCGGCUUCGGUGCAACGGCGACGAGCUUCGGCGAGCUGCUUUUCUUCUUCUUUCGCUUGCUGGUUUUUCACGAACAAGAAGAAAGAAAGAGGGGGUUUCAGUCACCUGGGGUGGGGGAGAAGAGAGAGAAGAAGAGAUAAGAGAGAAAAGAGAAA
rnacentral:lncRNA from 1 species